UAUUUUUUCUAAAUUUUUAAUCAAUAAAUUUCUAUAUAAACAAAUUUCUAUAUCUAAUUUCUUAUACAUUAAUUAUAUCCCAAUCAUACAUAUCUAAAAUAAUGAAUCUCGAGCUGCUGCACAAGAUCAUAUAUAUCUAAAAUAAUGAACCAAGAUAAACUCCAAUCAACCAGAAAAGCACGCAGCACACCAAGUGCUCGACGGAAAGACUGAACGAAAACUAUAAUCUUUAUCUCUUCCUCUUAAUUUUAUUUUCAAUCUUUAUCUCUUUCUCUAAAUUUUAAUUAUUAUUAUGUAUUUGAUCAACAUCACAAUUAUUAACAAAUUAUAGAUAGACUCAAAUUCUUAGAUAAAUCCUAUCAAAGGUAGAAUUCUUUCUCAAAUUGACAAUCUUAUAUUUCAUCUAUAAAAAGAAUCGGUUCUCCUUUCUUUCUCCUAUUCUGCUUUCUUUCUCCACUGAUCGGUUCUGCUUUGUUUCUCCUGUUCUGCUUUCGACUGAUAGUAACUCAACUUGGGGAACGCGUAAUUGAAGGCAAACUCAUUUCAGGAAAAAAUUCGGGCAAGAAGUUUCCAAUAGCUAGAAUGAUUAUGAGUCCAUCAGAUUUCGCUAAAUUUCCAAUUCGGUUUCAGAGAAGGCAAUUUCCUGUGAGUGUUUGUUUUGCUAUGACAAUAAAUAAAAGCCAGGGACAAUCUCUUUCAAAUGUAGGAUUAUACCUACCGAAACCAGUUUUUAGUCAUGGACAACUCUACGUGGCAAUCUCAAGAGUCACUAGAAAAAGAGGUUUAAAGAUUUUAGUAUGUGAUGAGAGUGGUCAUACGCAAGACACAACAACUAAUGUUGUGUAUGAUGAAAUUUUCGAUAGAUUAUGAGGUUGAUUUGAUAUGUGCGUGCUGCUUGUGAUUGGAGGGAAGAAAGGUACAAUAAAUCACAUCAUAUUUUUUCAUGUUCAUAGAUAAAAUAUGUUAUAUAAGGAUGGUUGAGCCGAGUCGGUUUGGGGACGAUGGUUAGGCCGGAGUUCUUGAAACUGACCUUCCCGCUCUUCUUUCCUUUCCUUUUUGUUUUCGUUUUAGACGAGUACUCUUUUUUCCUUCUACGGUUUUUCCUACCGGGUUUUCCGUAAAAGGGUUUUAAUGAGGCUCGGCCCUUAGUCUGUUUCUUUUGUACUUUCAAGGGUUUCUUAGGUUUUUCUUUUCUUUUAUACAUAAUAGCAUGAGGAUGGAUAUAUUUCGUCUUUUACUGUAUCAUGUUUCGGCUUCA